AAGAAAAAAACGAAAAAA
rnacentral:sRNA from 1 species